rnacentral:rRNA from 1 species
CCAGACUCCUACGGGAGGCAGCAGUGGGGAAUAUUGCACAAUGGGGGGAACCCUGAUGCAGCGACGCCGCGUGGGUGAGGAAGUACUUCGGUAUGUAAAGCCCUAUCAGCAGGGAAGAAAAUGACGGUACCUGACUAAGAAGCCCCGGCUAACUACGUGCCAGCAGCCGCGGUAAUACGUAGGGGGCAAGCGUUAUCCGGAUUUACUGGGUGUAAAGGGAGCGUAGACGGCAGGGCAAGUCUGGAGUGAAAGCCCGGGGCCCAACCCCGGGACUGCUUUGGAAACUGCCAUGCUAGAGUGCUGGAGAGGUAAGCGGAAUUCCUAGUGUAGCGGUGAAAUGCGUAGAUAUUAGGAGGAACACCAGUGGCGAAGGCGGCUUACCGGACAGUAACUGACGUUGAGGCUCGAAAGCGUGGGGAGCAAACAGGAUUAGAUACCCGUGUA